rnacentral:tRNA from 1 species
AGGAAAGUAACUCAGUUGGUAGAGUACAGGGCUUAGAUGCCUGAGGCUCCUAGUUUAAUCCCUGGCUCACCUC